rnacentral:ncRNA from 20 species
GACUUAUCCAGAGCAGGCGUAGGGAACAGGCCCGGUGACGCCACGGCAACCGCCCACUAGCAACGGGAAAAGGUGCCAAUUCCUGCGGUUCCUCACGAACCGGAAGAUAAGUC